rnacentral:rRNA from 1 species
UACGGGGGGGGCAAGCGUUGUUCGGAAUUACUGGGCGUAAAGGGCGCGUAGGCGGUGCGGUAAGUCACCUGUGAAAUCUCCCGGCUUAACUGGGAGCCUGCAGGCGAAACUGCCGUGCUGGAGUGUGGGAGAGGUGCGUGGAAUUCCCGGUGUAGCGGUGAGAUGCGUAGAUAUCUGGAGGAAUACCGGUGGCGAAGGCGGCGUUCUGGACCAUUACUGACACUGAAUCGCGAAAGCUAGGGGAGCAAACGGG